rnacentral:rRNA from 1 species
UACGUAGGGUCCGAGCGUUGUCCGGAAUUACUGGGCGUAAAGAGCUCGUAGGUGGUUUGUCGCGUUGUUCGUGAAAACUCACAGCUCAACUGUGGGCGUGCGGGCGAUACGGGCAGACUAGAGUACUGCAGGGGAGACUGGAAUUCCUGGUGUAGCAGUGAAAUGCGUAGAGAUCAUGAGGAAGACCAGUGGCGAAGGCGGGUCUCUGGACAGUUCCUGACACUGAGACACGAAGGCCAGGGGAGCAAACGGG